CGGAGUGGCGAACGGGUGAGUAAUAUAUCGGAACGUACCCGGAAAUGGGGAUAACGUAGCGAAAGUUACGCUAAUACCGCAUAUGCCCUAAGGGGGAAAGCGGGGGAUUCGCAAGAACCUCGCGUUUUCGGAGCGGCCGAUAUCGGAUUAGCUAGUAGGUGAGGUAAAGGCUCACCUAGGCGACGAUCCGUAGCUGGUCUGAGAGGACGACCAGCCACACUGGAACUGAGACACGGUCCAG
rnacentral:rRNA from 1 species